CCCCUCUCAGGGUCGCAGCUGGAGAGUUUCCAGUACUUUGCCAGUCUUGACUACGGGAGGGAGAGUCAAGCAGAGGUCUGUCCAUUCCAUUCCUGGCUUGGCCAGUGGCUAGCGAUUGGAAAGCAAUCUGCUACAAGU
rfam:Ornithorhynchus anatinus chromosome 4, whole genome shotgun sequence.